GAGGAGCACUGUUGAAUGUGGGAGAGGGCGCAAUUUUAAAAAUUAGAUUUAUGUUGCUAUCUGGAGCUUAAAGCCAUGCAUCCCCCUAUUUCCUUCAGGAGCAGCUUUGCCCCCCACCAAAACCAAGGAGGAGAGGAGCGAGGGGGCCACCCAGGUGCAGUGCAGUGAGGAUGAGGGAAUGUCUGGGGACACAGAGGGGGCUCUGACCACGGCAGGGCGCUCUGCAUCAGAAACCACAACACGUGCAGUUGGCACUCAGACAGAGCCAUCGCUGGAUGCCAACUACAAGGAUCUGGAGCGCAGGCUGGCUGUGGUUGAGAAGUGGAUGAACAGGAGGAAGGGGGCCGCCAGGAGGCUCCUGGAAAAGCGAAGGGCUGCAGAGAAGGCAGGCAAACCACAUGGUAGCGGCAUCCAGC